rnacentral:guide_RNA from 1 species
AUAUAUAUAAACAGUGGUAAUCUAUCGGGUACAGUGAUAUAUAGU